rnacentral:ncRNA from 1 species
UUGGCAAACUUAUUGAAAAGUAAGGACGCAAAGCUAAGGGUCUAAGCCGUCUAAAAACGGUAUGACAGCCGGUUGCUA